CCUACGGGUGGCAGCAGUGGGGAAUAUUGGGCAAUGGGCGCAAGCCUGACGCAGCAACGCCGCGUGAAGGAAGAAGGCUUUCGGGUUGUAAACUUCUUUUAUCAGGGACGAAGCAAGUGACGGUACCGGAUGAAUAAGCCACUGCUAACUACGGGCCAGCAGCCGCGGUAAGACGUAGGUGGCAAGCGUUAUGCGGAUUUACUGGGUGUAAAGGGCGGGUAGGCGGGAGUGAAAGUCAGAUGUGAAAAUUAUGGGCUCAACCCAUAGCCUGCAUUUGAAACUGUACUUCUUGAGUGCUGGAGAGGCAAUCGGAAUUCCGUGGGUAGCGGUGAAAUGCGUAGAUAUACGGAGGAACACCAGUGGCGAAGGCGGAUUGCUGGACAGUAACUGACGCUGAGGCGCGAAAGCGUGGGGAGCAAACAGGAUUAGAUACCCGGGUAGUC
rnacentral:rRNA from 1 species